rnacentral:misc_RNA from 1 species
AAGUCGUAACAAGGUUUCCGUAGGUGAACCUGCGGAAGGAUCAUUACCAAUAUUCAAAAUAUCCAAACCCAUGUGCACGAUGGAAUUGUCUUGGUUUUUGGGGUGGGCUUGCCCAAGUUCACUCCAGCCAUAUUUUGCAAAACUACUUUUCAAUUGUCAUGGAAUUAUUACUUGUCUUAAUAAAAUAUAAUGACAACUUUUAACGGUGGAUCUCUUGGCUCGUGGAUCG